rnacentral:rRNA from 1 species
GACGAACGCUGGCGGCGUGCUUAACACAUGCAAGUCGAACGGAAAGGCCCUGCUUUUGUGGGGUGCUCGAGUGGCGAACGGGUGAGUAACACGUGAGUAACCUGCCCUUGACUUUGGGAUAACUUCAGGAAACUGGGGCUAAUACCGGAUAGGAGCUCCUGCUGCAUGGUGGGGGUUGGAAAGUUUCGGCGGUUGGGGAUGGACUCGCGGCUUAUCAGCUUGUUGGUGGGGUAGUGGCUUACCAAGGCUUUGACGGGUAGCCGGCCUGAGAGGGUGACCGGCCACAUUGGGACUGAGAUACGGCCCAGACUCCUACGGGAGGCAGCAGUGGGGAAUAUUGCACAAUGGGCGGAAGCCGGAUGCAGCAACGCCGCGUGCGGGAUGACGGCCUUCGGGUUGUAAACCGCUUUCGCCUGUGACGAAGCGUGAGUGACGGGAAUGGGUAAAGAAGCACCGGCUAACUACGU